GUGGGAGGACGCCCCCGUCCUAGUUGGGAGUGCUCGCCUUUCCUGCAGCGCACAGCGGCCCUUUCCCCACCCUCGCCAGGGCCCGCGAGCCCCACUCCCGAGCCUCCCGCAGGCCCCAGGCCAGGUGGGGACGAUCCGGCCCUGCGCUCGCCCCGGCAGUUCCGCGUCUGCGCAGCGGGCGAGGGGCUGGAGCGGGGCCGGCCGGGGAGGUGCAGGAUGCGCGGGAGCCAAUGGGCAAGCUCGGGGGAGAGGGGCUGGCAGCCGCGGCGGGCCGGGCGCGCACUCUCGGGAUGGAGGGCGAGCGCCUGGCAUCUCCGGCGCGCUCCUCCGGCCUCCCGGCUGGGGGCGCCGGUGGGGAAAGCCCGGGGGUCGACGCCCCCCUCCUGGGCAGCAGCGGCUCCUCCACCCUGCUCCAGGCCGAGGUGCUGGAUCUGGACGAGGACGAGGACGACCUGGAGGUGUUCAGUAAGGAUGCCUCGUUAAUGGACAUGAAUUCCUUCAGCCCUAUGAUGCCAACGUCCCCUCUAUCAAUGAUUAACCAAAUCAAGUUUGAAGAUGAGCCAGAUUUGAAAGAUCUUUUCAUUACAGUUGAUGAACCUGAAAGCCAUGUUACCACAAUUGAAACUUUCAUUACUUACAGGAUUAUUACUAAGACAUCUCGUGGGGAAUUUGACUCCAGCGAAUUUGAAGUUAGGAGACGUUAUCAAGAUUUCCUUUGGUUGAAAGGAAAACUUGAAGAAGCACACCCCACUCUGAUUAUUCCACCAUUGCCUGAGAAGUUUAUCGUGAAAGGUAUGGUGGAACGCUUUAAUGAUGACUUCAUUGAAACACGAAGGAAGGCGCUACAUAAGUUCCUGAACCGAAUUGCUGAUCACCCAACUCUAACAUUUAAUGAAGACUUCAAAGUAUUUCUUACUGCACAAGCUUGGGAGCUCUCUUCUCACAAGAAGCAAGGGCCUGGAUUACUCAGCAGGAUGGGGCAGACAGUCAGAGCUGUUGCACUGUCAAUGAGAGGAGUAAAAAGCCGCCCAGAAGAGUUCAUGGAAAUGAAUAACUUUAUUGAAGUUUUUAGCCAGAAAAUAAAUUUGAUAGACAAAAUAUCUCAGAGAAUUUACAAGGAAGAAAGGGAAUAUUCUGAUGAAAUGAAAGAAUAUGGCCCAAUUCAUAUUCUGUGGUCAGCGUCAGAAGAAGAUCUGGUUGAUACUCUAAAAGGGAUUGCCAGCUGCAUUGACAAAUGCUCUAAGGCCACUGAAAAACGGAUGUCUGGACUCUCAGAGGCCCUGCUUCCUGUAGUACAUGAGUAUGUACUUUAUAGUGAAAUGUUAAUGGGUGUUAUGAAAAGGAGAGACCAAAUACAAGCAGAACUGGAUUCCAAAGUGGAAGCUUUGACCUAUAAAAAGGCAGAUACUGAUCUGCUUACAGAAGAGAUUGGAAAACUUGAAGAUAAAGUUGAAUGCGCUAAUAACGCCCUGAAAGCAGACUGGGAAAGAUGGAGACAUAAUAUGCAAAAUGAUAUCAAGUCAGCAUUUACAGAUAUGGCUGAGGAGAAUAUCCAGUAUUAUGAACAGAUAAGAAACCGAGGCCUGGAGAAAUCAAACAGCUUAUAUGAUCUCACGUGACCAUCAGUGUGAUUCACAUCAAAGGCUUGUCAAACACCUUGGGAUUUCCACUGAACCUACAGAAAGGUCACAGAUUUAGAAGAAAAGAACAGACCAGAACUAAGGGAUUCAUCAUAAGAUUAAGGCAAGACUCAAAUAACUUCUCCCAAGCAAUGUACAAAGCAACCUGAUGCUCAGACUCUUUCUAAACAAAUUUACUGGGAGAUCCAGUGCAUAGACUCAGGUCAAUAUUCAGUUUGUCUACUGAGCAAUUAACAUGGAGUAGGCAUUGCAAUAGGCAGAGGACACUGGGGUCCUAAUGGAAUCCAGAGCCACAGGCAGAAGGAGUCUAGUUCCCUGAAUCACCGCAUAAAGGAAAGAUACACCUGCCAAACAGGAACAGCCACCUUGGACUUUUGCUUGAAACCAGAGAAGUCCCAGAUCAAGGUGCUGCAGAUCUGGUGUUUGAGGAAAGUCAUCUUCCUGGUUUGCAGCCUCACAGUACAUAAAGGUGUUGAGAUCUGCAGCAAAGACUCAGUUUCACUUGAACUCAAUGUUUUCCAGCACAAUGGCAUGAAACUCCAGAACCAUCUAGAGGGUGUAUGUGGACUGUUUCAUGAGCUCAGCCAGGAACCUACACUGUCAAAAUGGAUCGGUCAUUUAAAAAAGUUAAAGAUUACUUCCAGUCACUACCUUUUCCACUUGAUGAGAAGAGGGAGAAGAGACAAAGACAAGAAUCUUCAAGCGACGAACCAGAGGUUGUGCUUACCACUUCUGCUUACAUCCCACUGUUCUAAACUUAGCUGCACGGUCACGUCUGACUGCAAUGGUAGCUGGGAAAUACAGACUAUGGCUGGGCAGUGGUGGAUGUAGCUAAAAUUGGAUUGGGGAAUUCAGUUACUAAAAGAAGGGGAGGAGGUCUUCUUUGGACUAUUAGCAUUUGCCACUAUAAUGACACCCAGCUUUAAAAUUGUUGUAAGGUUUGACAAUAAAUUUCAUAUAUUAAAAAAAAACUUUAUAAAAAAAAAAUAAAAUUGUUGUAAGGAAUGAAGUUGUAUUUGCAGAGCAUAGGAGUAUAUUUGUUGAAUUUACAUAAGCAAUCUGCAUAGUACCUGACACAUGAUGAAUGAUAAUUAAACGGUAAUUAUUAUUAUUAUUAUUAUUAUUAUUAUUACUAUAAUGAUGAUCCAGAACCUCUAUCCUCACUGUGAUGCUUGAAUUCCCUCCAUAAUAUGAUGGACAAGUGAUUAUUUAACUGUUUGUUCUUGGAUCCUUAUAAUAAAAGGAAAUUUCGUUGCUCUUAAGGAAGCCAUUCCAUUUUUAGAAAGUUUUUCCUUCUUUCUUGACAUUAUUUGUCUUCUUACACUUUCUUUUCUUUCAACCUAAUUGUGACCUCUGAGGCCCCAGCAGAACAAAUCACAUCCCUCUGCCAUACAGUAGUCCUUCAGAUAUAUAUGGAAAGUUACUGCGUCUUCCAUGAGUUCUCUUUUUCUCUAAUCAUGUUCUAUUCCUUCCACAGGCUUUCAUAAUCCAUGACUUUGAGUCCAUGCACCACCAUCUUGGGCACAUUCAUUUGCUCAUUUAACAAAUAUUUGAGUACCAACUACUCUAUUUUAUGAUGCCCACCUUAAAACUAUGCCACCAAGGGCAGUAUUCAGUAUUCCAAGUUAGUCUGAGCACAGCAAACUAUUAAUGCUCUCAUUCAGGAUAUUAUUUUCCCUAAAUGGAACGUAAGAUCAUAUAACUUGGCAGCAAUAACAUGCGGUUGACACAUGCUGAAUGGUAACCUACAAUACCCUCUGAGCCUGUUUUUGUUUGUGCAGCUAACCUAGAUGUACCCUACCCUACAUGAACUUCUUUUUAAAUCCAAAUACAAAACAUGUGCUUUAUUCCUA